AUUGAACGCUGGCGGCAGGCCUAACACAUGCAAGUCGAGCGAGCGGCGGACGGGUGAGUAAUGUAUGGGGACUGCCCGAUAGAGGGGGAUAACUACUGGAAACGGUGGCUAAUACCGCCUAAUAUCGGAUAACCAGUAGUGGAUUAGCUAGUAGGUGGGGUAAAGGCUCACCAAGGAGACGAUCUCUAGCUGGUCUGAGAGGAUGAUCAGCCACACUGGGACUGAUACACGGCCCAGACUCCUACGGAGGCAGCAGUGGGGAAUAUUGCACAAUGGGCGAAAGCCUGAUGCAGCCAUGCCGCGUGUAUGAAGAAGGCCUUAGGGUUGUAAAGUACUUUCAGCGGGGAGGCGUUACCCGCAGAAGAAGCACCGGCUAACUCCGUGCCAGCAGCCGCGGUAAUAC
rnacentral:rRNA from 1 species